CCCUUAGAUGUUCUGGGCCGCACGCGCGCUACACUGACGAAUGCAACGAGCUUAUAACCUUGGCCGAAAGGUCUGGGUAAUCUCCAAAUUUCGUCGUGAUGGGGAUAGAUUAUUGCAAUUAUUAAUCUUCAACGAGGAAUGCCUAGUAAGCGCAAGUCAUCAGCUUGCGUUGAUUACGUCCCUGCCCUUUGUACACACCGCCCGUCGCUCCUACCGAUUGAAUGGUCCGGUGAAGCGUUCGGACCGUGGCCUUUGGACGGUUCGCCGUCUGUUGGCUGCGGGAAGUUCGUUAAUCCUUAUCAUUUAGAGGAAGGAGAANUCGUANCA
rnacentral:rRNA from 1 species